GGUGAGCUUUCGUGAUAUCAAGACCGCCUGGAUUUCACCCGUCCAAGUCUGCUUACAUGGCCCCAGCUGCCAUGGCGAUGGGCUACUCUCUGACGGAAAUAUGCACAUCUGAAAGAGACCUGGCCCGACGAGCAUCACAGCUACAACAUUGCUGCCAUAGUACAACUAGAUACAAUAGUUAACGGCUUAUUCAAGUGACCAAGUGGUGACAAGGGAAUCUCGUGGCCACCUUCAGCAGGCUGGCAGUCUGCUGUACUUCAAGCAUCUGCAAUGCUACACAGUAGAGGGUAUGUGCCAAAGGCCUGGUUGAUGGGCAGGAUCAAGCUGCACCAUCCGGUUCUACGCAAUCGACCUCUGGGAAGCAAGUGUCUGCAUGAUCAAGUGUGGUUUCUUGGCAGAUGUUUGCCUGCAACACUGGUGUUCAUCAACAUAUGUUGUGAAUGUCUCGAGAAAUAUUUCUUGGAUGCAAGACCUUGAACUGCACAUGGACCUCUGACGUAGCUUGUGCAUGCUCUUUUGAUUACCUUCUGAAGACUGUGCCUAAAAGAACUGCUGGAGAAUGGCGGUUGAGAUGAAGGCGUUACAAGAUGGGUCAUAGGAGCUGCCAUGUACUGGUGCAGAUUGUCUCGA